rnacentral:misc_RNA from 1 species
AACUGAUACUACCUGCGGGAACCUGCGGAAGGAUCAUUACAGAGUUUUCUAAACUCCCAAACCCAUGUGAACUUACCAUUGUUGCCUCGGCGGAGCCUACCCUGUAGCUACCCUAUAAGGUGGUUACCCUGUAGCGCCCCGCCGGUGGAUUUUCAAACUCUUGUUAUUUAUAGUAAUCUGAGAGUCUUAUUUUAAAUAAGUCAAAACUUUCAGCAAUGGAUCUCUAGAUCGGAAGAGCAC